rfam:Gemmatirosa kalamazoonesis strain KBS708, complete genome.
UGGGGCGUAGCUGAGCUGGCAAAGCGUCCGACUGUUAAUCGGAAGAUCGGUGGUUCGAAUCCACCCGCCCCAG